UAGGGAAUCUUCCGCAAUGGACGAAAGUCUGACGGAGCAACGCCGCGUGAGUGAUGAAGGCUUUCGGGUCGUAAAACUCUGUUGUUAGGGAAGAACAAGUGCUAGUUGAAUAAGCUGGCACCUUGACGGUACCUAACCAGAAAGCCACGGCUAACUACGUGCCAGCAGCCGCGGUAAUACGUAGGUGGCAAGCGUUAUCCGGAAUUAUUGGGCGUAAAGCGCGCGCAGGUGGUUUCUUAAGUCUGAUGUGAAAGCCCACGGCUCAACCGUGGAGGGUCAUUGGAAACUGGGAGACUUGAGUGCAGAAGAGGAAAGUGGAAUUCCAUGUGUAGCGGUGGAAUGCGUAGAGAUAUGGAGGAACACCAGUGGCGAAGGCGACUUUCUGGUCUGUAACUGACACUGAGGCGCGAAAGCGUGGGGAGCAAACAGG
rnacentral:rRNA from 1 species